UGCUUUUAACAGUUAAACGUUUCUGUCUAUUAGUGUUCCUCAAUCUUGCGAAAGGUAAGAAAUCAUAAGUUUAAUAAGAGACAACUUUGAUCAGUAAACAAUGUAGAGUUCAUAAAACGUUUACAUAUUUGAUACUCACACGUUGUUUUAUCAAGUCAUACGUUAUAAUUUUUCGAUUGCUCAAAUCUAUCGUCCCCAUAAAAACAAUGUAUUAAACUUGAGACCUUGGCACUAAAAUGAUACAAAACAUACGGAGUAGUUUGCAACAAUGUGAUAAUUUUAAAUUCCUUCCAUUUUAAACAUAUUAAAUAUAUCAAAAAAGAGCUCCAUGACCUAUAAAUAUUUCUACCCAUUUUCCCCCUACAUGUAUAUACUGCUCUCAUCACUUUUUGUAUCAAUAUUGAAUUCUAGACUUUUUAAUUUUAUCGAAGUACACUCAUAUUAGAUUUUAAAAAAUCGUUUACCUAUAGCGACCGUUGACGCUGACAGGAACAGGAGAGCAGAUAUAUUUCCUUUCAUCAUUUGAUAAAUAUUGAAAAACACUUGUAUUUGAAUGUUUUGAAUUUAAUACCAAUAUUAUGUUUUUCUGUGUAGGAGACGAUUCUAUCAAUUUCAAUAUAAGGUUGAUGAAAUGUAUCGAUGGAAAGGGUACGUUAAGCCUUACUUGCACUGUGCAGCAUCUGAAUGUGAUGAAAAUACUUAAAAAUGGCGUCGAAGUUUCACAGUGUUUAACCUUCCCCGAAUAUCCAUAUAAAUAUUGUGAGCACAGCUCUCCACAGGAUGGGAACGCCAAGACAAAUUUACAUAACUGUUCUAUGACUUACACGAUCGAAACA
rnacentral:lncRNA from 1 species